rnacentral:rRNA from 1 species
UUCCGGUUGAUCCUGCCGGACCUGACUGCUAUCGGAUUGGUACUAANCCAUGCGAGUCAUUGUANCAAUACAAGGCGGACGGCUCANUAACACGUAGUCAACCUAACUCGUGGACGUGGAUAACCUCGGGAAACUGANAAUAAACCACNAUAGAUCAUAGUGCCUGGAAUGGCUUAUGGUCAAAACAGUUUACUGCCAUGGGAUGGGACUGCGGCCUAUCANCUUGUUGGUGAGGUAAUGGCCCACCAAGGCGAUUACAGGUACGGGCUCUGANAGGANAANCCCGGAGAUGGGUACUGANACACGGACCCAGGCCCUAUGGGGCGCAGCANGNNANAAACCUUANNAAUGUGCGAAAGCACGACUGGGUCAAUCCGAGUGAUUCCUGAUAAAGGAGUCUUUUGCUUGUCCUAAAAGCACAGGUGAAUA